CUACGGGAGGCAGCAGUGAGGAAUAUUGGUCAAUGGGCGCGAGCCUGAACCAGCCAAGUAGCGUGCAGGAAGACGGCCCUAUGGGUUGUAAACUGCUUUUGAAGGGGAAUAACGUGCGCCACGUGUUGGUGCAGUGCAUGUACCUUUCGAAUAAGGAUCGGCUAACUCCGUGCCAGCAGCCGCGGUAAUACGGAGGAUCCGAGCGUUAUCCGGAUUUAUUGGGUUUAAAGGGUGCGUAGGCGGAUGAUUAAGUCAGCUGUGAAAUACCGUCGCUCAACGGCGGCACUGCAGUUGAAACUGGUUGUCUUGAGAGUGCAAGAGGCAUGCGGAAUUCAUGGUGUAGCGGUGAAAUGCAUAGAUAUCAUGAAGAACCCCGAUUGCGAAAGCAGCAUGCUGGGGCAUAUCUGACGCUGAGUCACGAAAGUGCGGGUAUCAAACAGGAUUAGAAACCCUGGUAGUCC
rnacentral:rRNA from 1 species